rnacentral:rRNA from 1 species
CAUGUAGGCGGCAUGACAAGUCUGGUUUGAAAUAUCUCGGCUCAACCGAGAAAACGCACUGGAAACUAUCAAGCUUGAGUAUCGGAGGGGAAGCUAGAAUUCCUGGUGUAGGGGUGAAAUCUGUAGAUAUCAGGAAGAAUACCGGUGGCGAAGGCGAGCUUCUGGCCAGAUACUGACGCUGAGAUGCGAAAGCGUGGGGAGCGAACAGGAUUAGAUACCCUGGUAGUCC